UCUGCUAUAGCUCAGAUGGUAGAGCGUGCGGCUGUUAACCUCAAGAUCGCUGGUUCAAACCCAGCUUGGAGAG
rnacentral:tRNA from 1 species